rnacentral:rRNA from 1 species
GAGUUUGAUCCUGGCUCAGAUUGAACGCUGGCGGCAUGCCUUACACAUGCAAGUCGAACGGCAGCACGGGUGCUUGCACCUGGUGGCGAGUGGCGAACGGGUGAGUAAUACAUCGGAACAUGUCCUGUAGUGGGGGAUAGCCCGGCGAAAGCCGGGUUAAUACCGCAUACGAUCUACGGAUGAAAGCGGGGGACCUUCGGGCCUCGCGCUAUAGGGUUGGCCGAUGGCUGAUUAGCUAGUUGGUGGGGUAAAGGCCUACCAAGGCGACGAUCAGUAGCUGGUCUGAGAGGACGACCAGCCACACUGGGACUGAGACUCGGCCCAGACUCCUACGGGAGGCAGCAGUGGGGAAUUUUGGACAAUGGGCGAAAGCCUGAUCCAGCAAUGCCGCGUGUGUGAAGAAGGCCUUCGGGUUGUAAAGCACUUUUGUCCGGAAAGAAAUCCUUGGCUCUAAUACAGUCGGGGGAUGACGGUACCGGAAGAAUAAGCACCGGCUAACUACGUGCCAGCAGCCGCGGUAAUACGUAGGGUGCGAGCGUUAAUCGGAAUUACUGGGCGUAAAGCGUGCGCAGGCGGUUUGCUAAGACCGAUGUGAAAUCCCCGGGCUCAACCUGGGAACUGCAUUGGUGACUGGCAGGCUAGAGUAUGGCAGAGGGGGGUAGAAUUCCACGUGUAGCAGUGAAAUGCGUAGAGAUGUGGAGGAAUACCGAUGGCGAAGGCAGCCCCCUGGGCCAAUACUGACGCUCAUGCACGAAAGCGUGGGGAGCAAACAGGAUUAGAUACCCUGGUAGUCCACGCCCUAAACGAUGUCAACUAGUUGUUGGGGAUUCAUUUCCUUAGUAACGUAGCUAACGCGUGAAGUUGACCGCCUGGGAGUACGGUCGCAAGAUUAAAACUCAAAGAAAUUGACGGGGACCCGCACAAGCGGUGGAUGAUGUGGAUUAAUUCGAUGCAACGCGAAAAACCUUACCUACCCUUGACAUGGUCGGAAUCCCGCUGAGAGGUGGGAGUGCUCGAGGGAGAACCGGCGCACAGGUGCUGCAUGGCUGUCGUCAGCUCGUGACGUGAGAUGUUGGGUUAAGUCCCGCAACGAGCGCAACCCUUGUCCUUAGUUGCUACGCAAGAGCACUCUAAGGAGACUGCCGGUGACAAACCGGAGGAAGGUGGGGAUGACGUCAAGUCAUCAUGGCCCUUAUGGGUAGGGCUUCACACGUCAUACAAUGGUCGGAACAGAGGGUUGCCAACCCGCGAGGGGGAGCUAAUCCCAGAAAACCGAUCGUAGUCCGGAUUGCACUCUGCAACUCGAGUGCAUGAAGCUGGAAUCGCUAGUAAUCGCGGAUCAGCAUGCCGCGGUGAAUACGUUCCCGGGUCUUGUACACACCGCCCGUCACACCAUGGGAGUGGGUUUUACCAGAAGUGGCUAGUCUAACCGCAAGGAGGACGGUCACCACGGUAGGGUUCAUGACUGGGGUGAAGUUGUAAGAAGGUA